rnacentral:lncRNA from 1 species
CAUCUAUCAAUGAAUUGAGAUACAGAAGACCUCAUCAACCAAGUAAUCAACUUAAUUCAAAACAUCAAGUGAAUAAUAAAAUGAAAAAAAAGGAUAUUAAAAAUGAUUUAUAAAUGAUUAAAAAAAGAAAAUAAAAGGAAAAUGUCAAAGAUGUAUCAAAAUACCAAAUAAAAGUCUAAGAAAAAUAGAGGAAGUCAACAAAAUUAUAAGUAACUUGAUCUCAAAA